GGAGGUUUAGCUCAGUGGCAUAAGCACCUGCCUUGCAAGCAGGCGGUCUUGAGUUCGAUCCCCGGUACCGAUA
rfam:Cavia porcellus supercont2_11 genomic scaffold, whole genome shotgun sequence.